GUCCAUGCCGUAAACGUUGGGCGCUAGGUGUGAGGGACAUUCCACGUCCUUUGUGCCGCAGCUAACGCAUUAAGCGCCCCGCCUGGGGAGUACGGCCGCAAGGCUAAAACUCAAAGGAAUUGACGGGGGCCCGCACAAGCGGCGGAGCAUGCGGAUUAAUUCGAUGCAACGCGAAGAACCUUACCUGGAUUUGACAUAUGGAGAAAUCUCCUGGAGACAGGAGGUCCGUAAGGGCUCUAUACAGGUGGUGCAUGGCUGUCGU
rnacentral:rRNA from 1 species